rnacentral:rRNA from 1 species
UACAUGGGGUGCAAACGUUGCUCGGAAUCAUUGGGCGUAAAGCGCGCGUAGGCGGUUACUUAAGUCGAAUGUGAAAGCCCUCGGCUUAAACCGAGGAAGUGCAUCCGAAACUGAGUAGCUAGAGUACGAAAGAGGGUCGCGGAAUUCCCGGUGUAGAGGUGAAAUUCGUAGAUAUCGGGAGGAACACCGGUGACGAAGGCGGCGACCUGGGUCGAGACUGACGCUGAGGCGCGAAAGCGUGGGGAGCAAACAGG